rnacentral:rRNA from 1 species
GAUGAACGCUGGCGGCGUGCCUAAUACAUGCAAGUCGAGCGAACAGACGAGGAGCUUGCUCCUCUGACGUUAGCGGCGGACGGGUGAGUAACACGUGGAUAACCUACCUAUAAGACUGGGAUAACUUCGGGAAACCGGAGCUAAUACCGGAUAAUAUAUUGAACCGCAUGGUUCAAUAGUGAAAGACGGUUUUGCUGUCACUUAUAGAUGGAUCCGCGCCGCAUUAGCUAGUUGGUAAGGUAACGGCUUACCAAGGAAACGAUGCGUAGCCGACCUGAGAGGGUGAUCAGCCACACUGGAACUGAGACACGGUCCAGACUCCUACGAGAGGCAGAAGUAGGGCAUCUUCCGCAAUGAGCGAAAGCCUGACGGAGCAACGCCGCGUGAGUGAUGAAGAUCUUCGGAUCGUAAAACUCUGUUAUUAGGGAAGAACAAAUGUGUAAGUAACUAUGCACGUCUUGACGGUACCUAAUCAGAAAGCCACGGCUAACUACGUG